rnacentral:rRNA from 1 species
GGGUGACUGCGUACCUUUUGUAUAAUGGGUCAGCGACUUAUAUUCUGUAGCAAGGUUAACCGUAUAGGGGAGCCGCAGGGAAACCGAGUCUUAACUGGGCGUUAAGUUGCAGGGUAUAGACCCGAAACCCGGUGAUCUAGCCAUGGGCAGGUUGAAGGUUGGGUAACACUAACUGGAGGACCGAACCGACUAAUGUUGAAAAAUUAGCGGAUGACUUGUGGCUGGGGGUGAAAGGCCAAUCAAACCGGGAGAUAGCUGGUUCUCCCCGAAAGCUAUUUAGGUAGCGCCUCGUGAAUUCAUCUUCGGGGGUAGAGCACUGUUUCGGCUAGGGGGUCAUCCCGACUUACCAACCCGAUGCAAACUACGAAUACCGAAGAAUGUUAUCACGGGAGACACACGGCGGGUGCUAACGUCCGUCGUGAAGAGGGAAACAACCCAGACCGCCAGCUAAGGUCCCAAAGUCAUGGUUAAGUGGGAAACGAUGUGGGAAGGCCCAGACAGCCAGGAUGUUGGCUUAGAAGCAGCCAUCAUUUAAAGAAAGCGUAAUAGCUCACUGGUCGAGUCGGCCUGCGCGGAAGAUGUAACGGGGCUAAACCAUGCACCGAAGCUGCGGCAGCGACACUAUGUGUUGUUGGGUAGGGGAGCGUUCUGUAAGCCGUUGAAGGUGGCCUGUGAGGGUUGCUGGAGGUAUCAGAAGUGCGAAUGCUGACAUAAGUAACGAUAAUGCGGGUGAAAAACCCGCACGCCGGAAGACCAAGGGUUCCUGUCCAACGUUAAUCGGGGCAGGGUGAGUCGACCCCUAAGGCGAGGCCGAAAGGCGUAGUCGAUGGGAAACAGGUUAAUAUUCCUGUACUCGGUGUUACUGCGAAGGGGGGACGGAGAAGGCUAUGUUGGCCGGGCGACGGUUGUCCCGGUUUAAGCAUGUAGGCGGAUGUUCCAGGUAAAUCCGGAACGU